CACCGAUGGCUCGCCACGUAGCUAGCCGUUCUUUUUGGAUUUGGAAGAGAUCGUAGCAAGGUGGUUCGUUUCCUUUGCCCAGCGGCCUGGUGCCGCCUGAUGGCUUCUACCUAUAUCGCGGUUUAAGCCGCCUAAUCCUCGUUGGAUGUGAAUCGUCCUGUGCAGUUGAAGCCCCGGGUGCAUUGAAAUUAUGCAAGUCCUUUCCUACGCCCGCUUAUUAUCUGCCCCGGGGUUUCAAGAUUUACCGUCUUUAUUACAAGUUUACGGGGUGGCCUCAAGAUGCCAGCUUCUGUAAGCCGAGCUACCAGUGGCAAGGAGCUGUGCCUGGCGUUUCCAUACUUCCACGCAGAGGUUCCUGGCCAACGUGGCGGUUGUAUUGUUUACGGUCUUUCGAAGUUUUGGAGGUUAGAUCGACCCUUUAUUUAAUAUUUAUUACUGAACCAGAGAUGCUGGUUCUGGCGCCCUCAUACCCUUAGUACCUUUUAAUUUGUC